CGCAACAUGCAGGAAGUGACGC
rnacentral:miRNA from 1 species